rnacentral:rRNA from 1 species
GACGAACGCUGGCGGCGUGCUUAACACAUGCAAGUCGAACGGAAAGGCCCCUUUGGGGGUACUCGAGUGGCGAACGGGUGAGUAACACGUGAGUAACCUGCCCUUGACUUCGGGAUAACUUCAGGAAACUGGGGCUAAUACCGGAUAGGAAUCCUUGCUGCAUGGUGGGGGUUGGAAAGCUUCGGGGGUUUUGGAUGGACUCGCGGCCUAUCAGCUUGUUGGUGGGGUAGUUGCUUACCAAGGCUUUGACGGGUAGCCGGCCGGGGAGGGCGACCGGCCACAUUGGGACUGAGAUACGGCCCAGACUCCUACGGGAGGCAGCAGGUGGGAAUAUUGCACAAUGGGCGGAAGCCUGAUGCAGCAACGCCGCGGGCGGGAGGACGGCCUUCGGGUUGGAAACCGCUUUCAGCAGGGGCGAAGCUUGUGGUGACGGUACCUGCAGAAGAAGCACCGGCUAACUACGUG